UAGUGUAUAGGGCAAAGGUAAGUUUCUUUGGUAUUUUUUUAAUGAAUAAAGUUGUCUGGGAUUGUUCUAAAAGUUUCAAAAUAUAUGGAUUAAGUUCAUUUUGUAUUUUUUUUUCUUAUUAGGUCUACCAUAUGUUUUUUUUUUCAUUUAAAUAUUGUAUAUUUUUUUUGUGUGAUCUUUGUUUGUUUGCACGAUGAGAAGCAUUUGGGGAUAAUCUGAGUUUUUCUUCUCAAGUCAUAGCAUUUUUUAUCCAAACAUUUCCUGGUUCCAUUUUCGUGCUGGAGCAGUAUUUCCGCAGAGAUCUGAAAGAGCUGCACCGGUCUUUACCCCUCCACAAAGGCAACCAUUGUCUUCAUAUCCACAGAAUCUACGCAGUUAUGACAUUCAUCAAGAUACAACUGAGCCGUCUGCAGAGUUUGAGUUUCCUACCUUGAGCUUGUCAGAAAUUCAGAAUGCAUGUGGCAUAAUGGAUGUUCUUACAGAAAUGCUUAGCGCAAUUGAUCCAGAGAAUAAAGAGGGCCUUAGACAAGAGGUUAUUGUUGAUUUGGUGGAACAGUGCCAGACAUAUAAGCAGAGAGUGGUUCACCUUGUUAACUCCACCUCGUAAGGCUUCAAACUUCUUUGCUCCAUAGGU